rnacentral:rRNA from 1 species
UACAGAGGUGGCAAGCGUUGUUCGGAAUUACUGGGCGUAAAGGGCGAGUAGGCGGCGUUCUAAGUCAGACGUGAAAUCCCCCGGCUUAACCUGGGAACUGCGUCUGAUACUGGGAGGCUAGAGUAUGGGAGAGGGAUGUGGAAUUCCAGGUGUGGCGGUGAAAUGCGUAGAUAUCUGGAGGAACACCGGUGGCGAAGGCGGCAUCCUGGACCAUAACUGACGCUGAUCCGCGAAAGCUAGGGGAGCAAACGGG